rnacentral:rRNA from 1 species
CGGCCGACGUCGACGUGGAUGCGCAGAUAUCAGGAGGAACACCGAUGGCGAAGGCAGGUCUCGUGGGCUGUAACUGACGCUGAGGAGCGAAAGCGAUGGGGAGCGAACAGGAUUAGAUACCCUGGUAGUCCAUGCCGUAAACGUUGGGCACUAGGUGUGGGGACCAUUCCACGGUUUCCGUGCCGCAGCUAACGCAUUAAGUGCCCCGCCUGGGGAGUACGGCCGCAAGGCUAAAACUCAAAUGAAUUGAC